UAGAAGCACACGUAAAAGUUUGUGGCCCAAUUAAAGAAGACGCAAGUUACCUAAAAUAUUGGUUAAUUUGGCUUUAAUGCAACCUCUUUUAUCUCAUCUUGAUGUGAUUUGGUAAUUUUUUGGCAGGAUGCCCAAGAUUUGAUUGGAAACUUAGCGAGGGUUUUUGUUUUCCGGUUUUCUUUUCUUCUCUAUUUUCUUUUUUUUUAUUCGAUUGCUUCGCCUUGAGAGUGGUGUUGGAUUCUGUGAUGUUCCACGAGUGACUCCAGAACAGCCUGGUUUCUACACAAGGAGAACCUAACCUCCACCCUGAGCACACAUCUCUCACAAUCGAUACUUCAAGUAGCCAGUUUAUCUUAGUGAGGCUCCAUGUAGCUGGAGACCAGUCAUACGACAAACGGUUGCUGAGAUAUGGCCAAGGAACAGUCUUAUUGGGUCACCCCGUACAUCGAAGUAAACAGGACAAUGGCCGGUAAAAAAGAACAUUUAGCAGAAAAUGUGGAGAAAAUCAAGAUGUUCACAGGAAACCACAAAUCAGAGAAUAUUAGGUUAUCAAUAAUUGAGAUAGUAAACAAUCUCUUACAUAACUGGAUAUGCAUAACAUCAAAUGAUUACAAAACUUAGAGUUUUGCACCAACGGAAUAUAAAGAUCGGCAUGAUUUAGUGGCAGAGAUAGUACAAUCAAGAGUUUAACAAACAGAAAUAAACCUAUAUAAUAGAAAUAAACCUUCCACCGCACCAUAUGAUAACUAUAAGGCGGAACCAGUUUUGAAAAUGAGCAACACAAAUUGUAUUGGUUUCGCACUGUACUUACAAACCAACUGGUAAGUACCAAUAGGCCUGACCUAAUACUAAUUGAUAAAAUUUCUAAGAAAACAGCUCCUAUUGAUGUAAUUAUUCCUAAUAAUAACAACCUAAGAACAAAACAUAAUGAAAACAUGUUCGGUACAGGCAUAUAACACCAGAUAUAACACCAGCAUAUAACACCAGAUACGAUGAUAAUAGGAAAUGAGAGAAGUGUGGAUCCCAAUUAUUGUGUCAACAAAAGGAGUAAUACUAAAGAAUCUGAUCGAAAACAUAAAACUGCUCAACCUUAAGGAAAGCAUCGAUAAGCUAAUGCAGUCGACAAGCAAGUCGACGCUAUUAUCUACAUCUUGAAUUUUAGUUUUUAGUUUAAGUGUAUCAGUUGUAAAUAAAGUUGAAAAAACAUAGUCCGAUAACAUGGAAAGAACUCCAUCAGAGGUUGAUCGUUCUGAUACCUGAGUUAUCUGGGAUAAGUGUAUGACCUCCCUUCUCCAGGGGGGAGUGCUACUACCGUUUGGUAUCAAAUUUAUAAUAAUCAUUAAAAUGUAAAAUAAAUACAAAUUAUGGAUUGUUAGAUGCUCAAUUAAUUAUACUAAUAAUUUGUGCGUGCAUCUAUGCACUAAUAAAAUAUAUAAAUUAAUACUUCUAUAUUACUAAUAACUGAAGAAAAAUAAUAUAAGAAACCACAUAAUUAUUCAGAACUAAACUAAGGGUUUUAAAAUAUUUUUGUUAAGUUCUAACAACCAAUUGUAUACACUUCUUUUAAUUUUUGGGUAACUUUUGUUUUUUAGAUGUUGUGAUAGGGCGUUAUAUAUUUUAAGCGGAGUAAAUAGCAGACUUCUUUGUACUGAGAAAAGUCCUCCAGCAGGAAUUUGCAUUGACUGUUUCGGUAUCGACCGUAUAUUAGUUUGAAGAUCAAUUGACAUUUAUCGUUAAACAGUAACCUGAUGACGGCUCUUAUAUAUUAUAUAUCGGGUGGUGCAUCGCCAAGUUGGCCAUAGGAAAUCCCAUAUAAAUUAUGACGCGUCGAAUAUUGGCUCGCCUGUAUAUUUUACAGAAAAAAAAAUGCUUUUUUAAAGGUGCAGAUAAGAUGAGCUACCAUACCUUACUUUCUAAUAAGCGAUUUCGAAUUUAUUGAAAAAAACUGAAUACUAAAGUAUGAAACCACAGUCCAAAUCAUCAAAAUGUUUUGUCAAAGUGUUGUCAUUUAUUUAGCGCCAGUAUAAAUAAUUAUUACACUAAUCAAAAGAAAAUAAUGAUUAAGUGAUACUACAUGGGGUCUUCGAAACGUUCUCUUUGAAUUUUUCUGAUAGGCAUUUUCCAAGUGAAACAACACAGCAAAAUAUCGUUAUUAACUUUGAGACUGAGGGUACAGUAAUUAGAAAAUAUGCAAAUGCUCAGAACAAAACAAUAAAGAUGGCAAAGCUAGAGAAAAUAAUUCAGAUUUUGAAAUCUUACUUUAUAUUGAAGGAAAUAAAUGAAUUAGCAGCAGAACUCUUGGAUAAGUUGUAGGAAAUGAUCAUAGUACAGUAUUGCGCACACUUAAAAAUUAUAAGUACCAUUCCUUUAAAUAUCAAAAACAUCAGGAACUAAGGGAAGGUGAUGAAAUCUGAAGAGCAGAUUUCUGUUUUGAAGUUAUGGAAAGAAUAACGACAGUGUAUCUUUACGAAAUGUUUGUUUUACGGACGAACGCGCCUUUACGUUAAAUGAUGCGCCAAAUCUUCAAAAUUUGCGUUACUGCAGUAAAGAAAGCGAACACAGAUAUGUUGUUCGAGGACCCAGUAGCCUCAAAAGUUAAAUGUUUGGGCGGGUAUCUUUGGUCAUAGCAUUAUUGGACCUUUUUUUUGGAAAAAAAUUUUGGGACGAGCAUUUUUGGAACACAAAAUUAAAUUGGACCAGCAUUGGAGAAGUUGCAUCUGAAAAUGAGAUUUGGUUUCAAAUGGAUGGCUGUCUUGCGCACAUCACAAUUCACAGCAAGUCAGGAAAUAUCUUCAAAACGUAUUUAAUGGACGCGUAGUUGGGCUAAAUUAUACUAAUAAUUGGCCAGGUCUGGUCUGCGGACUUUUCACCAAACGACUUUUUCCUGUGGGGUCACGUAAAAGUGUUAUUUAUAAAGAUGUGCGUUAUCAAAAAAUUUAGAAGAGUUAAAGUUGGCAAUAAAUUUAUUAGUUUAAAAACUUAUUUGGCAUUUAUUUAUAAAUUAGUAUUUAUGAAGUGAAAUUUGAUAUGGUGGCUUAUCUUACUCGCACCUUUAAGA